rnacentral:sRNA from 1 species
GUCCAUCGUCGACAUACGCAAGAUGAAUGUCAAGAAACUGAUUAACAUUCAACGACAAGAGGAAACAGUGAGAGCCCAACAUCAUCCUUCAUUUCUGCUGAAGGGGAGAGUUGCUAAACUUAGGCACACAGCAAAAUUCAAACAGAACACAGAAAAAGACGGUCAGAUGCUAUAAAUGCAGUGUAGCAUUGUUGAGAGAUGCUUCUCAGUUCAUCACUGUUAGAGGGACUAACAUUGAACGUUUGGAAUCAGGGCAUCUAAAAUAUGCUGCCAGCAGGGACCUUCAUCUUGGUGACCUUAACACCAUUCUCAAGGAAAAUCCUACUGAAAAAGACAGUUGUCAGGGAUAUGAUGGCAGCAAGACGUCAUUAGUCUAUUGAAAUUGUUGUGCAACAAAUGGCAUAUACCAGGAUUAUACGCUUUCCAAGGACACGUUUACAGCAGCUAUAAAAGGAUUCUUUGAAAGUGAAUGUUCUACUAGUAUCAUGGGAAAAGUUCUCUUAAACAUUCCAUUAGUAUUGAUAUAAAGACAUGAAGUUCAAAUGUCUUCAUUAUUAGAGAACUGUGAUUUGACUGUACACCCUAGAUCAAUUGUAAAGGACACAUAAUACACUUAUUUGUACAUUAUUAUUAAAUAGCAACCUAUAACAAAACUUCUAGCAAUAUCCUUUGACUACUGCACUCUUAUUUCUUAACAUUUGUAUGUUCAUGUAUGGUCGAUCAUUGUUAAAUGUGUUUUGGUAUACAGUACAGUUAGUAAAUAAACUUUUUCUGAUUUUUGAACAUAUGUAAAACUUGAGAAUAUCGAAAGAAAAAAAUUGAAAAACAUAUGAAUCAUGACCCAUUUUACUACACAUUGUCCAGAUAUUUUGUACAUAAUUCUAUUAAGCUGAAUUCCCAAUGGCUGUUAAAAUUGCUUCUCAUGUGAGCAAUGUGACACACAAGCUACUUGAUUGUUUUAAGUUCUAUAAUCAAAUGAUUACAUAUGUAUCUUUGUUAUUUUGGUGAAACUAUAUUGUAAAGUAUGAAAAACUGCAUUUUCCAAAGUUCAGUUUCCUAAAUUCUUUGAUAUUUUUUCAUCAUUCCAUCCAAAUUACACUGAAUAUAUUUAACCUAUAUAAUACUCUGGCCCAAGAUAUUUAUGACACACAUUUGGACAAUUUUUAAUAAAAUAAACAUAUACGCAAAGAAAGUGAUCAAUAAAGGGCAAAUUUCCAAGAUAUCUUCAUUGACACAUUAUCGUUUUUCAACUUGCAUAUCAGUGUCAACUGGUUAUACAAAUAUAUUUUACAAAUAAAUAUCUUGAUGU